rnacentral:rRNA from 1 species
UACGGGGGGGGGCAAGCGUUGUUCGGAAUUACUGGGCGUAAAGGGCUCGUAGGCGGCCAACUAAGUCGGAUGUGAAAUCCCCAGGCUCAACCUGGGAACUGCAUCCGAUACUGGAUGGCUUGAAUUCGGGAGAGGGAUGCAGAAUUCCAGGUGUAGCGGUGAAAUGCGUAGAUAUCUGGAGGAAUACCGGUGGCGAAGGCGGCAUCCUGGACCGACAUUGACGCUGAUGAGCGAAAGCUAGGGGAGCGAACGGG